AGUUGCUAACGCGUGAAGGCGAGCACUCUAGACGAACUGCCGUUGACAAAACGGAGGAAAGGUGGGGAUGACGUCAAAUCAUCAUGCCCCUUAUGUUCUGGGCUACACACGUGCUACAAUGGCCGGUACAGACGGACGCAAAGCCGCGAGGUGGAGCAAAUCCUAAAAAGCCGGUCUCAGUUCGGAUUGCAGGCUGCAAUUCGCCUGCAUGAAGUCGGAAUCGCUAGUAAUCGCAGGUCAGCAUACUGCGGUGAAUACGUUCCCGGGCCUU
rnacentral:rRNA from 1 species